UUAAAAUAAAUUUACUUCCAUUCACAAAAUACAAAAAAUUGAGGAACCAAAUUAUAAACCCUAGACUUCAUCUUCAUCUCUUAGAUUUUGCCGUUCACACACCAAUUACAUCGGCAUGAUGUCCCGAUCUCCGGCGAACCCUCCGUUUCCGGCAUCUCAAACAAUUUCUUUGAACAGCUACCUGCCAACAACCAUUAACAACGGCAACCUUUUCAUCUCGCGCCACAGACCUUCCUUACGGCGACUUGAAUAGUUCUGAUUUAGCAGCUACCAGGUCUCAUUGCUAUUAUUAUUCUUCGAUUAUUGUUUUAUCAAAUGUUUUACAGUAAUUGUUUAAUUUAAUUUGGUAUUAGUUAUUGUUGUCUAGAAAAUUUAUGAUAUGAUCUGCUUGUGUAUUCUCUAAUGUGCUGCACUGCUGCUUGUGUGAACAUGAGAUUUUUAAAAGAAGCAAUCAGUUUCAACUGAGUGACAAUUUUGUGAACUGAUUGCUGAAUUCUGAUUAUGAUUUUUAAAUUUUUGCAUGUAAAUAUGAGGAAAGCUGCCUCUAAUGUUGCAUUUACUUAUCUACAUGAAUAAAAUAGGUCACGAUCUUCUUUCCAGUUUAGAAUUUUAGUUUGUUGAUUGAGGAGUUGAAGAGAAUUGCUGCAUUAAAUGAGGCUCAAUGUAUCUAAUUAAUUAAAAAUUGUUACAGGCUUUGUUUGUGCUUAAUGUAAGCAAAUAUUACUUUACAUGCUAAGGCAAUCCAUCCAAACUUCGUGUGUAAACUUGUAUUUUUCUAAAGAAAUGUUAAGAGAGACAGCUUAAUUUAAUAUAUAAAAUUGGCUUAAGAGAAAAGAUUUUGUAAUUUUUUUGCUUGAGAUUUGUAAUUGAUAUGCGGUUCUCACGAUGUCAAACAAUAAUAGCUUUGUAAGUACACAUUGCACAACCAGUAGCCACUUAAAUUAUUUGCUGACCCCAUAUCUACAAAUUAUUUGCUUUAUGUUCUCAACUCAGUUUAAUUUCACAGUAAUAUCUUGCGAUUUGGUCUAAGAUUGAAGCCCCAUCACCAAUCUUACUAGCAAGUUUUCUUCUUCUUUACAUUUCUGUCGUUUUGGGUUAUUGUAAUUAGGGUGAUAGUUUGGUUGGAAGAGAUGUGAGAAAAUGAGAGGAGAGGAAAGUGGAGGAAAAGAGAGAAAAGGAGAGUAGAGGACAGUGAAACACUUUUCUAAUGUUUUAUUAUAGAGUUAUACAAAGAAAGGAAAUUUUGAAUUUUUUAUUUAGACAAUUUUAGCCUUCCAAUAUUUAUCAUGAAUAUAAUUCAAAAAAUUGAACAGUAAUUUUAUUUAAUAUAUUUACAUAAAUAACUAAUAAAAAUUAUUUUAAAUAACAAAUUUAUAUUUAUAAUUAAAUUUUUUAAAAAUUGAUAUUUUUUCAAAGCUAUGGAAGUUAAAAGAGUUACUAGAAUAGUUUUAACCGGAUUUGAACAACAUAAAUCGAGUUUUUGACCUCAAUGACAACAUAGUGAUCUUGUUUGUUGGAUGGUAAGUUCAAUGGUACUGGCGGUGACAUUAGAUGCGCUAGUGGUAGUGGUGCCGAUGGCAGUCCACAACAGUCCAGCCAUUGUUAGUUUAUGUUUCUAUAUUUUCACAUUAAAUGAAUAAUAAAUUUAUUUAUUUAGUUAAGUUUUUUGAAUCAUUACUUAAAUCUAAUUAAUAUUUAUGAAAUUAUUUAUAAUAUUGAAUUGAUGAAUAAAAUUAUGAAUAAUAAUUAUUUGAUGGCAUUAAAUAAGUUAAACAGUUGAAGGGGUAAUUUUAGAAGUUUUAGUUUCGAACAGAAGAGGAAUUUGAAUUCUUCACACAGUAUGGAAUUCAAAUUCUAUAUUAUGGAAAUGAAAAAUAAUUUUAAAUUACUUUUCUCUUCUCUAUCUCUCCUUCUAACCAAAAGCCACCUAGAAGUUUAGAGGUUUAGAAGUUUAGUGGACAAUUGAUCCACUAUCUUUUUUUAUCUUUGUCAUUAAUAUAUUUUUGAGUUUUUUACAAGAAAAAAAAAAGAAGUUUGUGAUUAUACUGCUCACAGUCUUAAUCCACAGGGAUAAUAUAUGUAAUCAACCUUAUUAUUGGCGUUGUAGCUCUUUUCUAGGUUUGGUGCUAUUUUUUGACUUCUGCUAAAUGAUUGCAAGUAGCAGUGUUUGUACAAGUUCUUUUUUUCGUGGUAUUUACAGUUCCCUAGGAAUAUUUAAAAUCUAAAAAAUUUCGUUUACUAAAAGUCAUCAUUUAUUCGCAGGUUUUUUUUUUUUUUUCAUGUCUGAUAUUUAAUUACCCGAAAAAGCAUACAAUAAAAUGGAGCAUAUGUGACGCUGUUUUAUCAUUUUUGCAUUGAUUAAACUUUAAGACUGAUAAUUGAUAAAAUGUGUUUAUAAGAUUAAUUAUCUUCAAGAAUGCCACCAAACUUUCUAAAUAUGUAUGUGCUGCCCUUUCUAUUAAUCAAGUGUAGGCCAAUGGCAAUUUUCAAAUUUGAAUAAAGAGAUUGGUUUUGUUCAAUAAACAAUAUAUUUUCAACGAUGUCACUAGGAUCAAUGCUACUGGCAAUUGUUUUCAUUUAAAUUUGAUUACUUUUGUAGACUUACUUUCUAGAAAGACUUUCUCAUCCUAAUUGUUUUUUUGUGGUUUGCCUUUGAUGUGUAGGUAAUUUAUCUUCUU
rnacentral:lncRNA from 1 species